UCCCUACGGGAGGCAGCAGUGGGGAAUUUUGGACAAUGGGGGCAACCCUGAUCCAGCCAUUCCGCGUGAGUGAAGAAGGCCUUCGGGUUGUAAAGCUCUUUUGUCCGGAGCGAAACGGUGCUGGUGAAUAUCCAGCGCUACUGACGGUACCGGAAGAAUAAGCACCGGCUAACUACGUGCCAGCAGCCGCGGUAAUACGUAGGGUGCGAGCGUUAAUCGGAAUUACUGGGCGUAAAGCGUGCGCAGGCGGUUGUGUAAGCCAGUCGUGAAAUCCCCGGGCUUAACCUGGGAAUGGCGAUUGGGACUGCACGGCUGGAGUAUGGCAGAGGGGACUGGAAUUCCUGGUGUAGCAGUGAAAUGCGUAGAUAUCAGGAGGAAUACCGAUGGCGAAGGCAGGUCCCUGGGCUGAUACUGACGCUCAUGCACGAAAGCGUGGGGAGCAAACAGGAUUAGAUACCCCAGUAGUCG
rnacentral:rRNA from 1 species